rnacentral:rRNA from 1 species
GAUGAACCGCUUUCGGGCGGGGAUUAGUGGCGAACGGGUGAGUAACACGUGGGCAAUCUGCCCUGCACUCUGGGACAAGCCCUGGAAACGGGGUCUAAUACCGGAUAUGACCGUCUGCCGCAUGGUGGAUGGUGUAAAGCUCCGGCGGUGCAGGAUGAGCCCGCGGCCUAUCAGCUUGUUGGUGAGGUAGUGGCUCACCAAGGCGACGACGGGUAGCCGGCCUGAGAGGGCGACCGGCCACACUGGGACUGAGACACGGCCCAGACUCCUACGGGAGGCAGCAGUGGGGAAUAUUGCACAAUGGGCGAAAGCCUGAUGCAGCGACGCCGCGUGAGGGAUGACGGCCUUCGGGUUGUAAACCUCUUUCAGCAGGGAAGAAGCGAAAGUGACGGUACCUGCAGAAGAAGCGCCGGCUAACUACGUGCCAGCAGCCGCGGUAAUACGUAGGGCGCAAGCGUUGUCCGGAAUUAUUGGGCGUAAAGAGCUCGUAGGCGGCUUGUCACGUCGGUUGUGAAAGCCCGGGGCUUAACCCCGGGUCUGCAGUCGAUACGGGCAGGCUAGAGUUCGGUAGGGGAGAUCGGAAUUCCUGGUGUAGCGGUGAAAUGCGCAGAUAUCAGGAGGAACACCGGUGGCGAAGGCGGAUCUCUGGGCCGAUACUGACGCUGAGGAGCGAAAGCGUGGGGAGCGAACAGGAUUAGAUACCCUGGUAGUCCACGCCGUAAACGGUGGGCACUAGGUGUGGGCAAC